rnacentral:rRNA from 1 species
UACGUAGGGGCAAGCGUUGUCCGGAAUCAUUGGGCGUAAAGAGCGUGUAGGUGGCUCGGUAAGUCCGCUGUGAAAGUCCAGGGCUCAACCCUGGAAAGCCGGUGGAAACUGUCGAGCUCGAGUCCGGAAGAGGCGAGUGGAAUUCCUGGUGUAGCGGUGAAAUGCGCAGAUAUCAGGAGGAACACCAAUGGCGAAGGCAGCUCGCUGGGACGGUACUGACACUGAGACGCGAAAGCGUGGGGAGCAAACAGG